GAUGAACGCUGGCGGCGUGCCUAAUACAUGCAAGUCGAGCGAACAGACGAGGAGCUUGCUCCUCUGACGUUAGCGGCGGACGGGUGAGUAACACGUGGAUAACCUACCUAUAAGACUGGGAUAACUUCGGGAAACCGGAGCUAAUACCGGAUAAUAUAUUGAACCGCAUGGUUCAAUAGUGAAAGACGGUUUUGCUGUCACUUAUAGAUGGAUCCGCGCCGCAUUAGCUAGUUGGUAAGGUAACGGCUUACCAAGGCAACGAUGCGUAGCCGACCUGAGAGGAUGAUCGGCCACACUGGAACGGAGACACGGUCCAGACUCCUACGGGAGGCAGCAGUAGGGAAUCUUCCGCAAUGGGCGAAAGCCUGACGGAGCAACGCCGCGUGAGUGAUGAAGGUCUUCGGAUCGUAAAACUCUGUUAUUAGGGAAGAACAAAUGUGUAAGUAACUAUGCACGUCUUGACGGUACCUAAUCAGAAAGCCACGGCUAACUACGUG
rnacentral:rRNA from 1 species